rnacentral:sRNA from 1 species
CUCUGUGGAUAAAGAAGCAUUAGCAUUAAACUCCAUCCUUGGAUUUACGGUAGCCAGCUUCAUGGACAAGAACUAAAGAAACAAACCACGAGUUUUAGAUUC